UGCAUGGUGGUGCAGCUGGUAGCACUGUAGCACAGCAAGAAGGUCCUGGGUUCGACUCCCGGCCGGGGGUCUUUCUGCAU